GAGCUUCCUGAGAGGCUGAAGGACACUUUAGAAAUGUCAGCAGGAGAGACCCACUUCCCUUUUAACCCAUGGAGUCAGGAGGGGAGUAAAGAAAAGAGGUUCACCUCAGGCUGCUCAGAAAGAAGGUGUUCCAGGAAGGCCAGAAAAGGGAGGCUGCUCUGGAAAAACAAAGAAGAGCUUGGCAGGCCCUAGAACGGAGGAGAAGUUAGACCCUGGGAAUCCAAGAUGCUGCAACGUCAGGCAGCUGGUCCCAGCAAGGCUGGCACGUGGAAACCUCACGGAGAAAAGUGAUUCAUAACCAAAGCAGGGCUCCCACAGCGACGCUGAGCAGACAUGGAACUAUUUUU
rnacentral:lncRNA from 1 species